AAGCAGCGCGAAGCCAGUUCGAAUUUUUAUGCGUAAAAAUUCGUUUCUACCAAAACAGAAAGCAUUCCUGGUGUGGUUUGUGUGGGCGAUGGCGCUUGUGGUACGAAGGGCGACCGGUGUCAGCCCUGUCUCGCUAACGAUACGCUCAUAAGCUGAAGUUGUUUGACACGCAAAACAACUUCCAUCGCUUCUUCAAGAUUGGAAUGUCCUGCAGCGUAGACGGACUGCCGGCGGGGUGUAGACUCCGGGGCAUGGGCUCUACCGUUCAGAGUGGUCCACUUAAUUCGUCUUUGAGUGGAGCGCAAGAAUCAAGCAACAAUGUCGUGCCGCUACAGCGAGCGCCAUCGCAGAAACCGUGCUGUUUCUGCUGGUGCUGCUGCUGUUCCUGCU